rnacentral:lncRNA from 1 species
UCCAGACCUCAACUGUAGCAAAUAUGAACCUGCCAAAUAUCCUCUACCCCCAUCUGGAUUUCCAAGUCCUAGAAAUCGGUUAUUGUAUGUCCUUGCCUGGAAAUACUAGAGAUGCUUGCAAGUGUUAAAAGUAAAAGGAAUGCCUUUGAUACUUAGCAGAAGGCCCACCUCCUUCAGAAAGCUUCCUGACCAUGCCAAUAUUCCUUCACCUUUUCUUGAGAAUCAAGGACAACGACAACGACGACAAUGAUGAUGAGAUGUCUGGGAUGAAAGUGAUGGAUGAAAUCAUUGGCCUUGACAGAUACCAUCCAAAGGAGGAUACUGUGGGGCAAUUAAUGGACCAAAACUGUUGAUAUUUCAGAUGUGACCCUUAUACCAGAAAGAUGCAGAGAGAGGCAGUGAGCCUUCCUGAGAUGCUUCAACUUCUAAAAUGUAAUAGUGAAAACUCGGUUAUGGACCAGGGUGGUUCAAGAGCAGCCUGUUUCCAAGCUAAAGUCAUAAUUUUACAGAUGAGGAUAUUGAGACCUGGAGAAUGGAGGAUACUUGGCUCAUGUUCCUGCCAAAGCAGCAGCAGGUCUGGGACUAGAAUCCACUCUCCUGAUGUCUGGUCAUGUCCCCUCUACAGGGUUCUGAUGAAAAGCCUGGCAUUCCAGGUGCCUCCCACUUAAUAUACAUGCGAAAGAGCCAUUGGGCACGUCUGCUCAGUCCUCCCAGCCACACCCUAUUUACUAAGAACAUUACAA